AUACUUACCUGGCAGGGGCAACAUCAUGAUCACCCAGGUGGUUUUCCCAGGGCAGGUGAUUGUCUCUGAUAUGUCCUCCAUCGGAGGUCUAUAUUGAGCAGAUUCUCUUUGGUGUUGGGUGGUGGAACUGGAGCUUGCUCCAUCCACUC
rnacentral:snRNA from 1 species